ACAAUGAUACUUCCGUCAAGUCCUGGGGCCGAGCGUGAAGCGAUGCUUGCAUCGCAAUCCGUCGCAGCAAAGGAUGGCGGCUCGGAGCGAUCCUCGGAGGGGUGAGAUUCCCAUGA
rnacentral:ncRNA from 1 species